AGCCAGCAUGGUGUAGUGGUUUGAGUGUUAGAUUACAACUCUGAAGAGCAGGAUUCAAUUCCCUGCUUAGCUA